GUGUGUUUAACAUUAAUGUUUUUCAGUUUCGCUACCCUCUUCAUCUUCCUAUCUAGAGUUUAAAAGCAUACUUUAAAGAUGAGAAUCAAUGUAGAUGUGAAUUUCAAGUGUCAGCCGAUUGCAAAGGUUUUCAGUCUCACUUACAAUCUCCUCUAAACAGAUCUGGUGCAUCUCACAUUCGAUUUCUUUUUAAGAUUCAUUACACUUUGAAAGUAGAACAUGCCUCUCGAAGUGGACUACGAGAAAGAAUUGGUGAGGACGUAGAAAAAGAUGAAGCAAAAUCUGAAAUCUAAAUCUCCCUCUACUACAACUUUGAAGAUAAAGCGCAAGAACUCCUACACGAUUAGAUAUACAUUGGAUCUAUAAAGUUUUGAAAGUGAGAUGCAGUGUUGAAAAAUCAGAACCAGUGAAUGAAGAUGUGGAAGAAGAAGGUCAACAAUGGAGAAAGGGGAACUUGAAAAUCAAGCAUAGUCAAAAUAUACUCUUUGAAGAAACUACAAACGAGACUAGAGCGUGAGAAGGUUAAAAGAACAAACUAGAUAUAGCAGAAACUACAAACUAGAUAUCCAUAUAACACUUGUACAUGUUUGAACCGAAAUGUGUUAAAAAGAGUAUAUACUAAACGAGAUCAUUUUUAGUAG
rnacentral:misc_RNA from 1 species